AAAAGACACUUUAAACUGUUUUUUAUCUCUUAUAUAUGUAUAGAACAUCAAACUGAUUGAAUCAUUCGUCGUAUUUUAACUCAAAAACAAUGUUGUUGUGGCACAAUUAAACCAUUAAAUCAAUCUUUAUUUCCUAAAACCAAAUCUUCAGAGAUGUUGGGGUGUUUCCAACCAGCAGGAGUUAUCAAACUGAUGCAGAUAGUCUGAAAUCAAUGUUGGUUUGAUUUUUUUUUUACCAUUUUGUGUCUUAAUUUGUCCCAUUUUUAUCAUUUUGUGUCUUAAUUUGUCUAAUUUUUGUCAUUUUGUGUCUUAAUUUGUCUCACUUUUGUCUUUUUGUGUCUUAAUUUGUCUAAUUUUUGUCAUUUUGUGUCUUAAUUUGUCACACUUUUGUCUUUUUGUGUCUUAAAUUGUCUAAUUUUCACCAUUUUGUGUCUCAAUUUGUCUCAUUUUUGUUAUUUUGUGUCUUAUUUGUCUCAUUUGUAUCAUUGUAUGUCUUAAUUUGACUCAUUUUUGCCAUUUUGUGUCUUAAUUUGUCUCAUUGUUGCAAUUUUGUGUCUUAAUUUGUUCCAUUUUUGUCAUUUUGUAUCUUAAUUUGUCUCAUUUUUAUCAUUUUGUAUCUUAAUUUCCCAUUUUUGUAUCAUUUUGUGUCUUAAUUCAUCUCAUUUUUUUUUACCAUUCUAUGUCUCCUUUGCCGUUUUAUGUCCUAAUUCUUUCAAUGUCUGUCACUUUCCGUCUUUUUUUCCCUGUAGUUUUGGCCUCAAUUUGUCUCAUUUUUAUCAUCUUGUGUCUUAAUUUUUCUAAUUUUUGUCAUUUUGUGUUUUAAUUUGUCUCAUUUUUAUUAUUUUGUGUCUUAAUUUGUGUCAUUUUUCUAGUUUGGGGUCUCAGUGUUCAGCAGGUUUUACACUCUUUGAGGAAUUAAUUCUAAAUAACACUAAAAACCCCUGAGUGUUAAGUGUAAAUAACACUACGAGUGUUAUUUCUCUCAGAGUAAAACUUGAUGAACACUACUCAGUGUAGGGGAGUGUUCAUCAAGUUUUACACUAAAUGCUCUGAGAGUUAAAUUAACUCUGAAAAUUCAACAUUAUCUUCAGUGUAACUUUAACACUGUGUGGGCUGGAACCACAUGUUCACUGACUUAGUGUUGAAAUGAACUCUUUGACUGUUAUCUGUACUCUGGAAAUUUUACUAUGCAGGUUCUCAGUUGUCAAGACAUUAAAUUAUCCUUAAAAUAGAAUUUACAAAGUGAUGUUGUGGGUCUAGAGGCUCAAAGUGUGACAUUUACCAAACUGUGUGUAAUUAUGAGAGUAAAAUCUAUGAAUGAAGCAAUGAAAUGGAAAAGAAUGUGUGAAAUUCUUCAAAGUUUCAUCUCAUCUAAAGGACAUUUUCAUGAAUGUGGAAAAACGACAGGAAGUGAUUUAAAGUAAAGACCCAGAAAAAAUCAGAAAAUGUGAUAAAAUCCAAGAAGAGACUAAAGGAGAGCAGAACACUAAACUAUUGAGCUUCCACAUUGAAAUGAGGAGUGGAUUAAAGUCCACAGCAGCAGACAAAGAAGAAGAUGAAGCCAGAGAAGGUUUGGAUUCCUCAGGUGACAUGUAGAGUGUAGAUUCCCUCUCUGACUGUAGUUCCUGGAAAACAGCUUCUCAGGACAUUUAGUGUUGAAAUGGACUCAUCAGUUCUGGGAUUGAUUCUUCUUUAUUCUUCCUUCUGGAUUUUGUCCUAAAAGCUUCAUAUUUAUAGAAUUAGAAACAAAUGGAAAAUGUUCCCAAACUCACAUUUUCACAGAAUUACGUUUUAACUCACCACAAACAGAUUGAUCGUGUAGAAAUCAGUUUCCUGCUUCGUUGCCCUGACAACAGUGAUGUCACAGCCCUACCUGUUCCUCAAAUUAGUUCUGCUUUUACCGUCUUCGUGUCGCAGCUUCUUUUCUCCUUCUGAAUGUGAGUAAAAGACACUUUAAACUGUUUUUACAUUUUAUAUAUCUAUAGAGCAUAAAACUGAUUGAAUCAUUAAUUGUAUUUUAACUCAAAAACAACGUUGUGACACAAUAAAAACAUUAAAUAAAUCUUUAUUCCCUAAAACCAAAUCUUCAGACAUGUUGUUCCCAACCAGCAGCAGUUAUCAAACUGAUGCUGAAAUCAAUGUGUUUUAUCAGUAAAUAUCAUUUGUAUUUGUCAGGAAGUUCUAAACAUGAGUUGUUCUUAUCAGCAGAACUUCAGUGCAACAGUUGUAGGAUGGAAAUGCUUUGAACAUGUGAUUUUUCAACAACACGUAGAACUAGAACAUAUUGUGGACCAAACAGUGGUGGGAAAAAGUUUUGGGACUCCCCAUGCAUUUGUGAAAUACUGCAUUAAGAAUCCCUCUGAGGUCUUCAAGUGGAAUUUCUUUUAGUUCAGUCACAGUCAGAAUACUAAAGACAUCCUAAAAAAGACAUUAAAACUGAUUUGGUUCAAUAAAAAUACAGAAGAAAUGUUGAGUUUUGGGUCAUUUUGGUUCCAGUGAUCCACUAGAAGAUUCUGUUCUCAGAUGAGUCCAAAGUUGGUCAAAAAUAACUCAAAACUACAUCAAAGUCAGUUAAAAAAGUUCCAAAAUAACUCAAAAUGUGUCCAAAAUGACUUUCAACUGUCUGAACGUGAUCUGGAAUUAGUUAAAAUGAGUCAAAAUUAUUCAAGAUUUGUUUAAAAUAGCUCAAAAUUAGUUAAAACAAGUUAAAAUAUGUCAAAAAAUUCUUUGUUUGUCCAAAAGUACUUAAAAUUUGUGCAAAAAUGACUCAAAUUGUUCACAUUUACUUAAAAUUCAUCCAAAAAGAGUUAAAUUGGACAAGAUAAGAUGAGAAAUAUGAAUAAAAUGAAUAGAAAUUCAUCUAAAAUGUCCCAAAAUUCGUCCAAAAUGACGUUAAACUGUCUGAAUGAGAUCUGGAAUUAGUUUGAAAUUCUUUCAAAAUUACUCAAAAUUAUUUAGGAUUUGUCCAAAUAGCUCAAAAUUAGUUAAAACUAGUUAAAAUAUGUCAAACAGUUGCUAAAUUUUUUUCCAAAACUACUUAAAACUUGUGCAAAAAUGACUCAAACUGUUUGAAUUUACUUAAAAUUCAUCCAAAAAGAGUUAACAUUGUCAAUAAUGACUACAAAUCUGAAUGAAAUGACUAGAAAUUCACCUAAAACAUUUCAAAAUUUGUCCAAAAUGACUUAAAUUUGUCCAAAUUCAAUUAAAUUUGUCCAUGUUUGUGGAUAUUUGUCAAAAAAUACUUUGAAUUGUCUGAACAUGAUCUGGAAUGAGUCAGAAAUGACCUAAAAUUUCCCAAAAUUUCUCCAAAGUGACUGUAAACUGUCUGAAUGUGAUCUGGAAUGAGUUUGAAAUUUGUUCAAAAUAGCUAAAAAUUAGUUAAAACUAGUUAAUACAUUUCAAACAAUUCUUAAAGUUUGUCCAAAAUUACUUAAAACUUGUGCUAAAAUGACUCAAAUUGUUUAAAUGUACUUAGAAUUCAUCUAAACAAUUAAAUUGUUCAGAAAAUGACUACAAAUAUGAAUAAAAUGAAUAGAAAUUCAUCUAAAAUAUCUCAAAAUUUGUCCAAAUUCAAUUAAAUUUUUCCAUGUUUGUGGAUAUUUGUCAAAAAAUACUUGAUCUGGAAUGAGUCAGAAAUUGUCUAAAAUGUACCUGACUAGAUCUCCAUGGUAACUGAUGAUGUGGCGCUAACCUGGUCCAGGUUGUGUUCAGAGUUUAGAUGGAAAUGUGCUGGAAGAAGCGUCUCCCUUUAACCAAAUCGUUUCCUAGCCAGUAUUUCUGAGCCAUCCAGAUUCUCAGCUGAGGAAAAAGUUGUUUCUGUAAACAUGUUGAGCUUUAUGUGACUAAAACCACUGGAUCCAGUAUCACACACUGUAUGCGUGGCGUUGCCAUGGGAACCUACAUGUAUGUGGUGGGUGAUGCAGAAAAUGCAUAAAUGUGUUUUAAUGUCUGGUCUGUUUCCUCUGCUGGUACUGCAGCUGAUAGAACACAGACUGGAACAUUGAUUAUUUAUUGGUAUUUAUUACACACAAUAUUCAAUCAGUCACAUUCAUUUCAUUUGGAUUUGGACACAGAUUAAAGAGAUUUCCUGCAUUAUGGGAUGGUGUCAGACCUAAAUGCACUUCAAUACAAGAUCAUAUUUAAAUGUAUGAAGUUUAAAGUUUCAUAGUUUUAUUGUUAUUAUUGUUUAUUGUUCAGUAAAAUAAAUAUAUUACACGCUUUGUUUAGAUUUCAGACCUACAGGCUAAAAAUAUGAGAACAUGUUGUUCCAGCAUCUAUAAAGCACAGGUUUCCUGCUUCGUUGCCCUGACAACAGUGAUGUCACGCCCCUUCCUGUUCUCCAUUUCAGUUCCUCUUUAACCGUCUCUUUGUUAUGAUCCUGUCCUUCUUUCUCCUUCUCCCUCUUUUCUUCCUUCUCCCUCCUUUUUCCUGUCUGCCAUCUGUCUCUCUCUAUUCUCUCUCUCUCUGUUCUCUCUCUCAUAUCUCUACCUCUCUCAUCUCAUGUCAUCUCUCUCCUUGUCUUGUACUUCUGGCUCCCUGAAUCUUCCACCUGCCUGCAGUCUGAUUGCUGCAAUGAGAAUCUGCUGUCGUAAUUAACUCACACCAGUCACCUGUUUGCAAUUCCUAAAAGACACUUUAAACUGGUUUUUAUCUUUUAUACAUCUAUAGAGUAUAAAACUGAAUCAUUUGUCGUAUUUUAACUGAAAAACAACUUUGUUGUGACACAAUUAAAACAUUAAAUAAAUCUUUUUCUUCCCUAAAACCAAACCUUCAGACAUGUUGGGGUGUUCCCAACCAGCAGCAGUUAUCAAACCGAUGCUGAAAUCAAUGUGUUUUAUCAGUAAAUAUAAUUUCUAUUUGUCAGACAGUUCUAAACAUGAGUUGUUCUUAUUAGCUGUCAAUCACAACCUGUGAUCUGAUCUGUCCAGCAGAGGGGAAAAGAUUUAAACUGAAAUAAAGUUCACCUGAUACACUUUGAAGAAACCAAAUGCUAGAAAUGUUCAGAUGUUUCUUCAAUGUAGCAUUAAAUUAGAUUGAGAGCAGACAUGUCUCUUUCUGCACUGUUGAGGGAAAUGUGCAUUAGUGUGAUCUCUGCUGAUGUUGGUUCUGUCCCAGUGAUUCCAUUCUAGGGAAAGUUAACUGUCAGGGAUUUACAGCCUGAUGGGAGUUUCUGCUUUCAUGAACCACAGGGUUUGUAGAAGUUGUGUUGGAUGUUGAGAGACGAAAAAGGUUGAAUGUUGAAAUAAUCCGUCACAUGAAAUGAGUGGGAAUCAGCCUGUAAAAUGUGCUCUUAUUGUGAAACUCUGCCUGCUGCUUCCUCAUGGUGGAGUCCUGACUGGUUCCAGGAAACAGAUCACCUGUCUGAGCGUCCAUAUCACAAGGAUGGGUGUAAAGCUAACUGCUAGGCUAGCGCUCACAGUUAGCCUCCCUUAUCAGUCUGAACGUGGCUGUCGAGCACACCAGCUCAUGUGAUUUUUUGGGGGGGGAUUUUUUUUAUUCAAACAGAGUCGUAACCUGCAUGGUCAGAAAAUAAAAGUGAUCCAGAGAACAGACCUGGUCCUGAGAAUCACUUUAUUUCACAAAACACAACACAGGAGACACGAUGACGUCAGAGGUGCUCUUGAACAUCCUGGAUGAUCUGGAUGAUGAUCAGUUGUCUAAAUUCCAGUGGUUCCUGCAGAAACCCAACAAUGUUCAAGGCCUCCCAGCCAUCACAAAGAGCCGACUACAGACACUAGACAGGUGUAAAACUGUGGAUGUGAUGGUGGAGACUUAUGGACUUCAGAGAGCUGUGCAGGUGACCAGGGUGGUUUUAGAGAAGAUCUCCAGGAAUGAUCUGCUGCAGAGGUUUCCUGCCAGCAGCUCAGGACCAGAAGGUCAGUCACAAGACAAGAACAACAUGAUAUCAUUACAGUCAGAAAGAUGCAUGAUGGUGCUGCUACAGUUUGAUAGAGUUCAGGUUCUGUCAGUUUUUCCUGAGUCCACAUGUAAGGUCAGUUCCUCUGUAAAAUCUACUGAUCAACCUACUGACUGAAUGCUGCCCCCUGCUGUUUAAACCUUGAUAGAACACCAAAAUUAGUUCUGUAUGAGCUGACCUUCUGUGGAAGUAAAGCAUGUCCCACCUGUCCUCACCAAAUUAUGAGCCAAUUCAAAGUAGCAUCUGGCUGAGAAUGGAUGAAAUACCUGGAUGUGUUCUGGCUCCGCCCACGUCAUGGAGACUGCAUCAGACCAGACUUGAGUGGGCUUGGGGAAGCCAAAAAACCAACAUCCCAAUCUGUGGUUAAUUUAUCAAGAUAAAGCCUGAUCAAAAAUGUACUCUUAUUGUUUCAGAGAUGUGAACAUCCAGGUUAGACAGCUAUGACCAGAUGAUCAGCCUCACUGUAGCCACCAAGAGCAGCCUUAGCUGCCGCUGGAUCUGACCGUUCUAUAGCGGUUAAACUGGGAUAUUAGCAUAGACUGUAUACCUAUGGAUAUUAGUAGUUUUACGUUUAUUUAAUGGUCACAUUUUGGCCUCACAGUGUAUUUUUUUAAAGUGUUUUGAAAAAAUCGGUCUGAAAGAAGUUAAAGUUAAUGUUCAUAACUUUAUAUUGUUCAUGUUUUACUCGGUCACUGACUGUAAUAAUAAGAACAGAUAUAAAUUAAA